CUUAAUAAGACUGUGUGUGCUUUUAAGAAGAUUUCCUCUGCCAAAGUGAACUGGCUUAAAAGUGAAGCGGUCGCAGUUGGGAACGCUUCGACAGGGACACUGUGUCUACCUGCAGGCCUGACGUGGAGGUCAGGUGGGCUGAAAUACCUCGGAGUUUAUCUCGGGGAUGAGACCUUCAUUGCCCAGAAUUGGACUGGUGUUUUAGAAGCUGUUGAAGGUCGUUUGAAGAAAUGGAAGUGGAUCCUCCCACGGAUGUCAUACAGGGGCAGAGUCCUGGUGAUCAACAGUCUGCUCGCUUCCAUGUUGUGGCAUCGGCUGGUGACUGUGGAACCUCCAGGUGACUUGUUAGCGAGACUGCAGGCCAUGCUGGUGGAUUUCUUCUGGGAUCGAUUACACUGGGUUCAGCAAAGCGUGCUUUUCCUGCCAAAGGAGGAAGGGGGGCACGGUCUGAUACACCUAGCCAGCCGGGGAGCUGCCUUUCGCCUCCGCUUCAUCCAGCGGUUCCUGACCGCUCCUGCCGGCCUGGUGUGGCGACCUUUGGCGUGUGCCAUAUUGAAGCAGUGUGGAGGGCUGGGUCUGAGUGAGUCACUGUUCCUGAUGGAUUUUAAAGGUCGGACAAUGGAUAAGCUUCCGUCCUUUUACCAGGGAGUUUUUAAAGUUUGGAAACUUUUUUACCUUCGCCGUUCUGAGCCCUGUACUUCUUUGUCGUGGCUACUGAGGGAGCCGGUUGUGUUUGGGUCCCGUCUUGGAUGCGAGGCAGGAUCGUCCGCAAUCCUGAACAAACUUUGCAGCUCGAAGGUGCUAACCCUUGCGGACGUUGUGGUAUUUGCCGGCCCUCUCCUCAAAGAUGCCGACGGAUUGGCAUCGCAGAUCGGCGUCAGGUCGGUCAGGAUCGUCAGCCAUUUUCUCCGUCGACUCAAGGGCCAACUUGUGGAGUCUGAGCUACGGCUCCUUGCAGGUCACGGUAAGAGGCGAUGUGUGCCAGACCCCACAGAUACCUUCCCGGAGUGUGCGUUGAUGCCAAGAAUGACACAUCAUGGAGAGUUUUUAAGACUGAGGGCCUCUGCGGCCAUUUCGUUUGAGGAAACUGGGGGUCGGGAGUUUUACUACCUUUCUGUUAAAGUUUUAAAUCAGGUGAAACUAAGUGGUAGACCGGAUACUCCAUGGAGGUCACACUUGGCCCUGUGUGACUCACGAAAACCUGAGUGGAGUACACUGUACAAACCUCCACUGACUAAGAGGGGAGGGGACCUACAGUGGCGCAUUCUUCAUGGCGCAGUUGCAGUCAACUCUUUUGUGUCAAUUCUUGACCCCACGGUGUCUGAUCUGUGCCCUUUCUGCUCCCACAGGGAAACUGUUUUUCAUUGUUUUGUUGAGUGUUCUCGGCUUGCUGCCUU
rnacentral:lncRNA from 1 species